UCCUCCCUCUUUCUUCGUGCCUAAUACAUGCAAGUUGAGCGCUGAAGGUUGGUACUUGUACCAACUGGAUGAGCAGCGCACGGGUGAGUAACGCGUGGGGAAUCUGCCUUUGAGCGGGGGACAACAUUUGGAAACGAAUGCUAAUACCGCAUAAAAACUUUAAACACAAGUUUUAAGUUUGAAAGAUGCAAUUGCAUCACUCAAAGAUGAUCCCGCGUUGUAUUAGCUAGUUGGUGAGGUAAAGGCUCACCAAGGCGAUGAUACAUAGCCGACCUGAGAGGGUGAUCGGCCACAUUGGGACUGAGACACGGCCCAAACUCCUACGGGAGGCAGCAGUAGGGAAUCUUCGGCAAUGGACGAAAGUCUGACCGAGCAACGCCGCGUGAGUGAAGAAGGGUUUCGGAUCGUAAAACUCUGUUGGUAGAGAAGAACGUUGGUGAGAGUGGAAAGCUCAUCAAGUGACGGUAACUACCCAGAAAGGGACGGCUAACUACGUG
rnacentral:rRNA from 1 species